UCAGAGUUGAUCUGGCUCAGGAUGAACGCUGGCGGCAUGCCUAAGACAUGCAAGUCGAACGAGAUGGCCCAGUGAAGGUUGAGUGCUUGCACGAGACUGAAUCUGGAUUCCCAUCUAGUGGCAGACGGGUGAGUAACACGUGGGUGACCUACCUUUUCGUUGGGGAUAACAGUUGGAAACGAUUGCUAAUACCGAAUAAAAAUGUAAGAGUCAAUUUUUACAUUGAAAGGAGCCUUUAAAGCUUCGCGA
rnacentral:rRNA from 1 species